UGGGGAAUUUUGGACAAUGGGCGAAAGCCUGAUCCAGCAAUGCCGCGUGUGUGAAGAAGGCCUUCGGGUUGUAAAGCACUUUUGUCCGGAAAGAAAUCCUUGGCUCUAAUACAGUCGGGGGAUGACGGUACCGGAAGAAUAAGCACCGGCUAACUACGUGCCAGCAGCCGCGGUAAUACGUAGGGUGCAAGCGUUAAUCGGAAUUACUGGGCGUAAAGCGUGCGCAGGCGGUUUGCUAAGACCGAUGUGAAAUCCCCGGGCUCAACCUGGGAACUGCAUUGGUGACUGGCAGGCUAGAGUAUGGCAGAGGGGGGUAGAAUUCCACGUGUAGCAGUGAAAUGCGUAGAGAUGUGGAGGAAUACCGAUGGCGAAGGCAGCCCCCCGGGCCAAUACUGACGCUCAUGCACGAAAGCGUGGGGAGCAAACAGGAUUAGAUACCCUGGUAGUCCACGCCCUAAACGAUGUCAACUAGUUGUUGGGGAUUCAUUUCCUUAGUAACGUAGCUAACGCGUGAAGUUGACCGCCUGGGGAGUACGGUCGCAAGAUUAAAACUUAAAUGAAUUGACGGGGUCAUA
rnacentral:rRNA from 1 species